rnacentral:misc_RNA from 1 species
UGCGGCUGGAUCCCCUCCUUUCUGGAACGCCGAGUAGAGCCGCGGAGCAACGCGGAUAAAGAAAGGCCGCUCACAGGUCGCCCGCACUUCCGGGCCCUUCCCACGUCAAUUAGUCCGCUCUUUGACAAAUGAUGAACGGUAUGGGUUAGUGGGUGUCGAGAAUUUUGCACCCGUGGAGUAAGUCGGUGAGGUGGUGGAUCUCAAGCUAUGAGAUCAAGCAGCGUACGGCGCACGGUGGAUGCCUUGGCA